rnacentral:rRNA from 1 species
UACGAAGGGGGCUAGCGUUGCUCGGAAUUACUGGGCGUAAAGGGCGCGUAGGCGGUGUGUCAAGUCAGGCGUGAAAGCCCCGGGCUCAACCUGGGAACAGCGCUUGAGACUGGCACGCUCGAGUUCGGGAGAGGAUGGUGGAAUUCCCAGUGUAGAGGUGAAAUUCGUAGAUAUUGGGAAGAACACCGAUGGCGAAGGCAGCCAUCUGGACCGACACUGACGCUGAGGCGCGAAAGCGUGGGGAGCAAACAGG